UCUUCGGAGUCUGGGUUGGUCUCGAAGAUCCCGGACGAGCCCCCACGCAGAGAGACCCUUACUCAAGUCUUGGGAAAUCGCAGACCCCAGACACGGAGAGACCA
rnacentral:pre_miRNA from 14 species